ensembl:snRNA RNU6-819P RNA, U6 small nuclear 819, pseudogene
GUGCUUGCUUCGGCUGCACAUAUCCUAAAAUUGGAACAAUACAGAGAAAAUUAGCAUGGCCCCUGCAUAGGGACGCUGCACAAAUUUUUGAAGCAUUCCAUAUUUUG